rnacentral:misc_RNA from 1 species
UCAAACUUGGUCAUUUAGAGGAAGUAAAAGUCGUAACAAGGUUUCCGUAGGUGAACCUGCGGAAGGAUCAUUACAAGGGUUUCAAAUUGUCCGCGGUCCCCCCACUCUUUUGCUGGGGAUCCACGCAAAUUCAACCACGAUCAUCCACCCGUGUGCACGCAUUGAACUAAAAUUUUUUUAUAGUUCUAAAAAAUCUUUCCAAUGUCUCUAGCUGUUUGUCUGAUUUAAAAUAUUUUGUUUUAAAAUAAUACAACUUUCAACAACGGAUCUCUUGGCUCUCGCAUCGAUGAAGAACGCAGC